rnacentral:rRNA from 1 species
GACGAACGCUGGCGGCGUGCCUAACACAUGCAAGUCGAACGGAAAGGCCCUGUUUUUGUGGGGUGCUCGAGUGGCGACCGGGUGAGUAACACGUGAGUACCCUGCCCUUGCCCUUGGGAUAACUUAAGGAAACUGGGGCUAUUCCCGCCUAGGAGUUCUUGCUGCAUGGUGGGGGUUGGAAAGAUUCGGUGGUUGGGGAUGGACUCGCGCCUUAUCAGCUUGGUGGUUGGGUAGUGGCUUACCAAGGCAUUGACGGGUAGCCGGCCUGAGAGGGUAAGCGGCCACAUUAGGAUUGAGAUGCGGCCCAGACUCCUACGGGACGCAGGGGUGCAGAGUAGUACACUAUAGGCGGAGGCCUGGUGCAACCAAGCCGUGUGGGGGAAGAGAGGCUUGGCGUUGGAAACCACUGUCGCCUGUGACGAGGCGUUAGUGACGGUAACGGGUGAAGAAGCACCGGCUAACUACGUG